rnacentral:rRNA from 1 species
UACGUAGGUGGCAAGCGUUGUCCGGAAUUACUGGGCGUAAAGCGUGCGUAGGUGGUUUGUUAAGUCUGAUGUGAAAGCCCUGGGCUCAACCUGGGAAUUGCAUUGGAUACUGGCAGGCUAGAGUGCGGUAGAGGAUGGCGGAAUUCCCGGUGUAGCAGUGAAAUGCGUAGAGAUCGGGAGGAACAUCUGUGGCGAAGGCGGCCAUCUGGACCAGCACUGACACUGAGGCACGAAAGCGUGGGGAGCAAACAGG